rfam:Cricetulus griseus cell line CHO-K1, whole genome shotgun sequence.
AGGGAUGUAACUCAGUUGGUAGAAUCCUUACCUAGAAUGCAAGAAGUCCUAGGUUCAUUUCCCAGCAUCUCAG